CCUACGGGUGGCAGCAGUAGGGAAUAUUGCGCAAUGGGGGAAACCCUGACGCAGCAACGCCGCGUGGGGGAUGAAGGUUUUCGGAUUGUAAACUCCUUUUGUUAGGGAAGAUAAUGACUGUAUCUAACGAAUAAGCACCGGCUAACUCCGUGCCAGCAGCCGCGGUAAUACGGAGGGUGUAAGCGUUACUCGGAAUCACGGGGCGUAAAGAGCGCGUAGGCGGGAUAGCAAGUCAGAUGUGAAAUCCUAUGGCUUAACCAUAGAACUGCAUUUGAAACUGUUAAUCUAGAGUAUGGGAGAGGUAGGUGGAAUUCUGGGUGUAGGGGUAAAAUCCGCAGAGAUAAAGAGGAAUACUAAUGGCGAAGGCGACCUGCUAGAACAUAACUGACGCUGAUGCGCGAAAGCGUGGGGAGCAAACAGGAUUAGAUACCCGAGUAGUC
rnacentral:rRNA from 1 species